rfam:Candidatus Thiomargarita nelsonii contig_1730, whole genome shotgun sequence.
AGCUUGUGGUAAAUAACAUUGCCACGUAAUUCUGCUAUAUGCAAGAAACUCUCGUUAAGUUGUAGGUACUAAUGUUUAACCAAACACGCAAAAUUGUGCCUUAAUACUUGAGUAAAAUAGUCAAGUAUUAAUCAAAUGGGUUAGUAAAAAUCCUACAAAUAGAGACAAUUUGCAGGGAAGUCGUGGUUGACCCUUCAGAGACUAUACGCAGAACAUCAAUGAGAUGAAGACAUAGUCCGAACUACACGGAGACGUGUAG